GGAUCAUUACAGAGUUGCAAAACUCCCCAAACCAUUGUGAACCUUACCUUCUACCGUUGCUUCGGCGGGCGGGCCACAGCGCCCCCCGGGCCCCCUCGGGGGCGCCCGCCGGAGGAUAACCGAACUCUUGAUAUUCAUGGCCUCUCUGAGUCUUCUGUACUGAAUAAGUCAAAACUUUCAACAACGGAUCUCUUGGUUCUGGCAUCGAUGAAGAACGCAGCGAAAUGCGAUAAGUAAUGUGAAUUGCAGAAUUCAGUGAAUCAUCGAAUCUUUGAACGCACAUUGCGCCCGCCAGUAUUCUGGCGGGCAUGCCUGUUCGAGCGUCAUUUCAACCAUCAAGCCCCCGGCUUGUGUUGGGGACCUGCGGCUGCCCGCAGGCCCUGAAAACCAGUGGCGGGCUCGCUGUCACACCGAGCGUAGUAGCAACACCUCGCUCAGGGCGUGCUGCGGGUUCCGGCCGUUAAAAGCCUUUCACACCCAAGGUUGACCUCGGAUCAGGUAGGAAGACCCGCUGAACUUAAGCAUAUCAAUAAGCGGAGG
rnacentral:rRNA from 1 species